UUCAUCGGCCCCAAUUUCCUCCGCGCCCUUCUCUCUCUCUCUCUCUCUCUCUCUCUCUCUCUCUCUCUCGUAAACAAUUCAAGGCUCAACCGGCUCAAAUCUGCCGUUUGGGUUGCUCUCCGCUUCUUCUUCACUCAACCGAUCAAAUCUUCCCAGUACAUCUAAAACCCAUUUCAUUCAAACCGCUCACCCAGAAGUUGGAUCAGGGCCUUUGGAACUAUUUAUUUAUUUUUGAUCAGCAAGGGCCUUCGGAAAUCUUGCUUCAAGAGCUUUUGAAUUUAUAUACUCAUGCCCCUCAAGAAAGUUGGAUUUUGUGCAAAUUUUGGCGUACUUUUUCUUGACAUCUAUUUUGUUACUAUUUGUUCUCCAAGACCUAAUAAACUGCAUAAACUGGACCACGUUGAAGUUACAAGCUAGACCGAAAACAAACUUGCCUAGUUUGAUUUCGGUUUUAUACAUGACUGUCAUCCUUUUGUCCCUAUUUUUGAUGGGUUAGAGCUAACUUUCAGUGGUAAGAAAAAUUAUUGUAUGUUUGUAAUAAAACCACAUUUUAGUAGGAAUUGCUGCUAGACCCUCGUCAUAAGAACUUAUGAGUGCAGGUGCAAUAACCCCUAUUUGAAAUGGAAAUGGGCAGAAUAUGAAUACUUUCGCAACGAAAAUCAGUUUUGUAAUGGAGCCUCAUGAUCAUGAUGAAAGAGACCAUGCAAAAAGCAAUAAUGACGUUAUGGCCCUUCGUUUGAAGAACCGAGAACGUCAACGAAGAUACAAGGAACGAAAGCGUCUUGAAGCUGACAUGAAGAAGGCACCUACCAUAAACAGCUCAAAGCCACUGCUUUUGGAGAUGCAUGUGAAUAGGAUUCCCAACAACUUAGUAACCACUGUUCGUCGUCGGCGAGAUUGGAAAAAAGAUGCAAGAAGGGCCCAUGCAGUUAAAGAACAAGAAGUCAAAUUGAAUAACGUUGUUGUUGCUGGUUUUUCCUCAGCCAAUGAAAGCCAAUUAACCUUGUUGACCUCUGGAUCUAAAGCAAACCAACCAAUACAAAGUGAAAGAAGAUUUACUCUCAGCAGAAGACAUUGGAAAGCAGAUGCACGGAAUGAGAGAAACUGAAGUUGUUGCUGCACGAUUUAUUUUACAUGGGUAGGGUCGAUGUUUGCAGAGAGAUGUAAAAAUAUCAACUGAUUGCAGACUAGAAAACAACUAAUUUGGUGUGAAGAUGCCUAAGGUGGUAAUCGUCGCUGAACUCAUGAUGCUUUGGUGAGUGUGGGGAAGCUUCGAGUACGAGAUGUUUGUGUUCUAUUCUUUUGAUGACUUUCUACUUGCAUGUGUGGUUUAGAUAUGUGGAGGUGGUGAAGAAGUCAAUGACGCGAAAAGUCAGGUCUGUGGUUGGGAACCAUUAGAGAAAAUAUAGUGUUGUAAGUUAUGACACGGUGAUGCUAGUAGGAGUAUUGCACUUUCAUGCAUGUCUGAAAAGCUCAACAUUCCUGAACUUAAUUCAGAAGCAGUGCUUCUUUAUUGUACAUUUGCAAGCUUAAUCUAUUGACAGGUUCGUAUAUACAUAGAUAUGUUAAAAAGUCGAUAAUCGACUGAUGAACUAUAUGACAUCCCUUUGCAUUUGCAUCUUGUUACAAUCAUUAUUCGGAAACUUUUCAAAGAA